rnacentral:rRNA from 1 species
CGACAUAAUGUUCCCGGUUCCCUGUCGUGUGUGCUGCACGCAAGGGUCUCACUCCUGCACAGUUUCCGUGCAAUGGUAGCCGCCCAACAUUCCUUUAAACUACAACAAUUUAUUCUGUUGUCGCCUAACGGCACAAUAUAAAUCAUUUACUAUUCUAAGCGGUGG